CGUGGGUAAUCUGCCCUGGAGUGGGGAAUAACACCGGGAAACCGGUGCUAAUACCGCAUACGAUCACGAUGUCUGCGGAUGUUGUGAUGAAAGGAGCAAUUCGCUCCAUGAGGAGCCCGCGGCUGAUUAGCUA
rnacentral:rRNA from 1 species